UACGGAGGGGGCUAGCGUUGUUCGGAAUUACUGGGCGUAAAGCGCACGUAGGCGGACUGGAAAGUUGGAGGUGAAAUCCCAGGGCUCAACCUUGGAACUGCCUUCAAAACUAUCAGUCUGGAGUUCGAGAGAGGUGAGUGGAAUUGCGAGUGUAGAGGUGAAAUUCGUAGAUAUUCGCAGGAACACCAGUGGCGAAGGCGGCUCACUGGCUCGAUACUGACGCUGAGGUGCGAAAGUGUGGGGAGCAAACAGGAUUAGAUACCCUGGUAGUCCACACCGUAAACGAUGAAUGCCAGUCGUCGGGUUGCAUGCAAUUCGGUGACACACCUAACGGAUUAAGCAUUCCGCCUGGGGAGUACGGUCGCAAGAUUAAA
rnacentral:rRNA from 1 species